CCUACGGGUGGCAGCAGUGAGGAUUAUUGGUCAAUGGGCGCGAGCCUGAACCAGCCAAGUAGCGUGAAGGAUGAGUGCCCUACGGGUUGUAAACUUCUUUUAUAAAGGAAUAAAGUGAGGCACGUGUGCCUUUUUGUAUGUACUUUAUGAAUAAGGAACGGCUAACUCCGUGCCAGCAGCCGCGGUAAUACGGAGGAUCCGAGCGUUAUUCGGAUUUAUUGGGUUUAAAGGGAGCGUAGAUGGGUUGUUAAGUCAGUUGUGAACGUUUGCGGCUCAAUCUUAAAAUUGCAAUUGAUACUGGCAGCCUAGAGUACAGUAGAGGUAGGCGGAAUUCGUGGUGUAGCGGUGAAAUGCUUAGAUAUCACGAAGAACCCCAAUUGCGAAGGCAGCUUACUAAACUGACACUGACGUUGAUGCUCGAAAGUGUGGGUAUCAAACAGGAUUAGAUACCCGUGUAGUC
rnacentral:rRNA from 1 species